CGCCUCUUGAAUUCCUAUAAGAGGUCCAGCCUGCCCAGUGACUUUGUUCAACGGCCGCGGUAUCCUAACCGUGCGAAGGUAGCGUAAUCACUUGUCUUUUAAAUGAGGACUUGUAUGAAUGGCAUCACGAGGGUUAUACUGUCUCCUUUUUCUAAUCAGUGAAACUAAUCUUCCCGUGAAGAAGCGGGAAUAAAUAUAUAAGACGAGAAGACCCUAUGGAGCUUUAAACUUAAUAACAAAUACUAACCUUACUUCAACUUCCAGAACAUUAAUCUUAAUUUUAGUAUCCUGUUUAUUAGUUUUAGGUUGGGGUGACCGCGGAGUAAAAAUUAACCUCCAUAUUGAAUAGGACUUGUCCUUGAGCUAAGAACUACAGCCCUAAGCACCAAUAAAUUGACAUUAAUUGACCCAAUAUUUUGAUCAACGAACCAAGUUACCCUAGGGAUAACAGCGCAAUCCACUUCAAGAGCUCCUAUCGACAAGUGGGUUUACGACCUCGAUGUUGGAUCAGGGUAUCCCAGUGGUGCAGCCGCUACUAAAGGUUCGUUUGUUCAACGAUUAAAACCCU
rnacentral:rRNA from 1 species